GAUGAACGCUGGCGGCGUGCCUAAUACAUGCAAGUCGAGCGAACGGACGAGAAGCUUGCUUCUCUGAUGUUAGCGGCGGACGGGUGAGUAACACGUGGAUAACCUACCUAUAAGACUGGGAUAACUUCGGGAAACCGGAGCUAAUACCGGAUAAUAUUUUGAACCGCAUGGUUCAAAAGUGAAAGACGGUCUUGCUGUCACUUAUAGAUGGAUCCGCGCUGCAUUAGCUAGUUGGUAAGGUAACGGCUUACCAAGGCAACGAUGCAUAGCCGACCUGAGAGGGUGAUCGGCCACACUGGAACUGAGACACGGUCCAGACUCCUACGGGAGGCAGCAGUAGGGAAUCUUCCGCAAUGGGCGAAAGCCUGACGGAGCAACGCCGCGUGAGUGAUGAAGGUCUUCGGAUCGUAAAACUCUGUUAUGAGGGAAGAACAUAUGUGUAAGUAACUGUGCACAUCGUGACGGUACCUAAUCAGAAAGCCACGGCUAACUACGUG
rnacentral:rRNA from 1 species